rnacentral:rRNA from 1 species
CGGCAACAGCUCAAAUUUGAAAUCUGGCCCCUAGGGUCCGAGUUGUAAUUUGCAGAGGAUGCUUUUGACAAGGUGCCUUCCGAGUUCCCUGGAACGGGACGCCAUAGAGGGU